CUUCAGUGAUGAUACGAUGACGAGUCGGAAAAGGACUUGCUCUCUCUGUGGCGACUAGCUCAGGGUCACGUUCUGUGGCCCUGGGUUCAGUCUCACAAAGGAGGAUGUCCCUUUCAGGUGAAGACAUUGAGGCAUUUGUCUGAGAAGG
ensembl:snoRNA SNORD15 Small nucleolar RNA SNORD15